rnacentral:rRNA from 1 species
UACAGAGGGGGCAAGCGUUAUUCGGAAUUAUUGGGCGUAAAGGGCGCGUAGGCGGCUUUGCAAGUGGCGGGUGAAAUCCCUCGGCUUAACCGAGGAACUGCCUGUCAAACUGCAUGGCUUGAGACCGGGAGAGGUGAGUGGAAUUCCCAGUGUAGCGGUGAAAUGCGUAGAUAUUGGGAGGAACACCAGUGGCGAAGGCGGCUCACUGGACCGGUACUGACGCUGAGGCGCGAAAGCGUGGGGAGCAAACGGG